rnacentral:rRNA from 1 species
GAUCCUGCUCAGAUUGAACGCUGGCGGCAGGCUUAACACAUGCAAGUCGAACGGUAACAUAAAGAAGCUUGCUUCUUUGAUGACGAGUGGCGGACGGGUGAGUAAUGCUUGGGAAUCUAGCUUAUGGAGGGGGAUAACUACGGGAAACUGUAGCUAAUACCGCGUAGAAUCGAGAGAUGAAAGUGUGGGACCUUCGGGCCACAUGCCAUAGGAUGAGCCCAAGUGGGAUUAGGUAGUUGG